rnacentral:rRNA from 1 species
GAUCCUGGCUCAGGAUUAACGCUGGCGGCGUGCAUAACACAUUCAAGUCGAACGGAGAGAGGCAGCUUCGGCUGCGUCAAUCAGUGGCGGACGGGUGAGUAACGCGUGAGUAACCUGCCUGUAAGAGGGGGAUAACACCUGGAAACGGGUGCUAAUACCGCAUAAAUCAUAGUUGUCGCAUGGCAGCGAUGUAAAAGAGGAAUUGCUUACAGAUCGACUCGCGUCUGAUUAG